rnacentral:rRNA from 1 species
CAGCAGCCACGGGAAUACGUAGGGUGCAAGCGUUAAUCGGAAUUACUGGGCGUAAAGCGUGCGCAGGCGGUUUUGUAAGACAGAGGUGAAAUCCCCGGGCUCAACCUGGGAACUGCCUUUGUGACUGCAAGGCUAGAGUACGGCAGAGGGGGAUGGAAUUCCGCGUGUAGCAGUGAAAUGCGUAGAUAUGCGGAGGAACACCGAUGGCGAAGGCAAUCCCCUGGGCCUGUACUGACGCUCAUGCACGAAAGCGUGGGGAGCAAACAGGAUUAGAUACCCCUGUAGUCCCUGUCUCUUAUAC